AUCCGUGGUCAAAAGGGAAACAGCCCAGACCACCAGCUAAGGUCCCCAAUGUCGUACUAAGUGGAAAAGGAUGUGGGGUCUCUAAAACAACCAGGAUGUUGGCUUAGAAGCAGCCACCAUUUAAAGAGUGCGUAAUAGCUCACUGGUCGAGAGACCCUGCGCCGAAGAUUACCGGGGCUAAAGUACGAAACCGAAGCUGUGGCUACGACUUAGGUCGUGGGGUAGGGGAGCGUUCUGUGAGGGCUGAAGUCGUUCUGUAAGGAACGGUGGACUUCACAGAAGUGAGAAUGUUGGUAUGAGUAGCGAAAAGAAUGGUGAGAAUCCAUUCCACCGAAAGCAUAAGGAUUCCUGGGCAACGAUCGUCGUCCCAGGGUAAGUCGGGACCUAAUCCGAGGCAUGGAGCGUAGGAGAUGGACAACUGGCAGAUAUUCCAGUACCGGUAAUGAUUGUUUGAGCGAUGGAGUGACACAGGAGGGCAGGCAGGCAGGAGAUUGGUUGUUCCUGUACAAGCGUGUAGGGUGGAACGUAGGCAAAUCCGCGUUCUGAGAGCCUGAGGCGUGAUGUGGAGGUUCCGGAAACGGAACUGAAGCUGCUGACCCCACACUGUCGAGAAAAGCUUCUAGUUAGAAAAUUACCGCCCGUACCGUAAACCGACACAGGUAUGCGGGGAGAGAAUCCUAAGGUGCGCGGGAGAACCCUCGUUAAGGAACUCGGCAAAAUGUACCCGUAACUUCGGGAUAAGGGUAGCCGCUGUUGUGAAGUCUGAACAGAUGGAGCAUGAGGCGGUCGCAGAGAAGAGGCCCAAGCGACUGUUUACCACAAACACAGGUGCCUGCUAAAGAGAAAUCUGACGUAUAGGUGCUGACACCUGCCCAGUGCCGGAAGGUUAAGGAAGGAUGUCCGGAGCAAUCCAAAGCAUUCGACCGAAGCCCCGGUGAACGGCGGCCGUAACUAUAACGGUCCUAAGGUAGCGAAAUUCCUUGUCGGGUAAGUUCCGACCCGCACGAAAGGUGUAACGAUUUGGGCACUGUCUCAACGAGGGACCCGGUGAAAUUGAAGUACCUGUGAAGAUGCAGGUUACCCGCGACUGGACAGAAAGACCCCAUGGAGCUUUACUGUAACCUGACAUUGGGUUCUGAUACAUCACGUACAGGAUAGGUGGGAGGCAUGGAAGCGAGGACGCUAGUCUUCGUGGAGCCGCCGUUGGGAUACCACCCUUGAUGUAUCGGAAUUCUAACCGUAGGAGUAACGAAACUCGGGACAGUGUCAGGCGGGCAGUUUGACUGGGGCGGUCGCCUCCCAAAGAGUAACGGAGGCGCCCAAAGGUACGCUCAGAUUGGAUGGAAACCAAUCGUCGAGUGCAAUUGCAGAAGCGUGCUUGACUGUGAGACUUACAAGUCGAACAGGGACGAAAGUCGGGAAUAGUGAUCCGGCGGUGCCGAAUGGAAGGGCCGUCGCUCAACGGAUAAAAGCUACCCUGGGGAUAACAGGCU
rnacentral:rRNA from 1 species